GAUGAACGCUGGCGGCGUGCUUAACACAUGCCAGUCGAACGGGAAACCUUUUAUUGAAGCUUCGGCAGAUUUAGCUGGUUUCUAGUGGCGGACGGGUGAGUAACGCGUGGGUAACCUGCCUUAUACAGGGGGAUAACAACCAGAAAUGGUUGCUAAUACCGCAUAAGCGCACAGGACCGCAUGGUCCGGUGUGAAAAACUCCGGUGGUAUAAGAUGGACCCGCGUUGGAUUAGCUAGUUGGCAGGGUAACGGCCUACCAAGGCGACGAUCCAUAGCCGGCCUGAGAGGGUGAACGGCCACAUUGGGACUGAGACACGGCCCAGACUCCUACGGGAGGCAGCAGUGGGGAAUAUUGCACAAUGGGGGAAACCCUGAUGCAGCGACGCCGCGUGAAGGAAGAAGUAUCUCGGUAUGUAAACUUCUAUCAGCAGGGAAGAUAGUGACGGUACCUGACGAAGAAGCCCCGGCUAACUACGUG
rnacentral:rRNA from 1 species